rnacentral:rRNA from 1 species
CUUCCGUAGGUGAACCUGCGGAAGGAUCAGUACACGGGGGGUGGGGGGGGGGGGAGCAACCCGCGAGCGCAUGUCUAUUGGCAGCGGAUGCUUCGGCGGGCCCGCCGCUUGUCGGCCGCCGGGGGGGCGCCUCUGCCCCCCGGGCCCGUGCCCGCCGGAGACCCCAACACGAACACUGUCUGAAAGCGUGCAGUCUGAGUUGAUUGAAUGCAAUCAGUUAAAACUUUCAACAAUGGAUCUCUUGGUUCCGGCAUCGAUGAAGAACGCAGCGAAAUGCGAUAACUAAUGUGAAUUGCAGAAUUCAGUGAAUCAUCGAGUCUUUGAACGCACAUUGCGCCCCCUGGUAUUCCGGGGGGCAUGCCUGUCCGAGCGUCAUUGCUGCCCUCAAGCCCGGCUUGUGUGUUGGGUCGCCGUCCCCCUCUCCGGGGGGACGGGCCCGAAAGGCAGCGGCGGCACCGCGUCCGAUCCUCGAGCGUAUGGGGCUUUGUCACAUGCUCUGUAGGAUUGGCCGGCGCCUGCCGACGUUUUCCAACCAUUAGCAUCACACUUGACCUCGGAUCAGGUAGGGAUACCCGCUGAACUUAAGCAUAUCAAU